CACGUAGGGCGCAAGCGUUGUCCGGAAUUAUUGGGCGUAAAGAGCUCGUAGGCGGUCUGUUACGUCUGCUGUGAAAACCCGGGGCUUAACCCUGGCCUUGCAGUGGAUACGGGCAGACUAGAGGUAGGUAGGGGAGAAUGGAAUUCCCGGUGUAGCGGUGAAAUGCGCAGAUAUCGGGAGGAACACCGGUGGCGAAGGCGGUUCUCUGGGCCUGACCUGACGCUGAGGAGCGAAAGCGUGGGGAGCGAACAGG
rnacentral:rRNA from 1 species